ACUUUCUCUCCCUUUUUCCAGACUCGCCGAUGACCACGGCUGCUGUCUGCGCCGGAUCAGGGGGGAGUGUUUUGGACGGGGUGAAGGCGGAUAUGUACCUGACAGGUGAAAUGUCUCAUCACCAACUCCUUGAUGCUUCGACUAGAGGGACCUCGAUCAUCCUCUGUGAACACUCUAACUCAGAACGAGGGUACCUCCCUCAUCUCGCCUCCCUCCUCACCCCUCUACUGGGGGAGAGAGUUACCGUUCACAUCUCUACCCAGGAUAGAGAGCCCGUACAGAUUGUGUGAGGGGGAGAGGACGGGAUUCGAGGGAGAGUGAGUGCCUGUCCUACCUGAUAGAGGGGGAGUGCCUAGAGAGGAGUGUGUGACGGGUGUUUGUGUACAGGCAUGCGUGUGCGUGCGUGCCUG